rnacentral:rRNA from 1 species
UACGGAGGAUCCGAGCGUUAUCCGGAUUUAUUGGGUUUAAAGGGUGCGUAGGUGGCCUGUUAAGUCAGGGGUGAAAGACGGUAGCUUAACUAUCGCAGUGCCCUUAAUACUGAUGGGCUUGAAUGAACUAGAGGUAGGCGGAAUGUGACAAGUAGCGGUGAAAUGCAUAGAUAUGUCACAGAACACCAAUUGCGAAGGCAGCUUACUAUGGUUUUAUUGACACUGAGGCACGAAAGCGUGGGGAUCAAACAGG